UACGUAGGGUGCAAGCGUUGUCCGGAAUUAUUGGGCGUAAAGAGCUCGUAGGCGGUUUGUUGCGUUCGGCUGUGAAAUCCCGAGGCUCAACCUCGGGUCUGCAGUCAUACGAGCAAACUAGAGUGUUGCAGGGGAGACUGGAAUUCCUGGUGUAGCGGUGGAAUGCGCAGAUAUCAGGAGGAACACCAAUGGCGAAGGCAGAUCUCUGGGCCGUAACUGACGCUGGAGGAGCGGAAAGCAUGGGGAGCGAAACAGG
rnacentral:rRNA from 1 species